rnacentral:rRNA from 1 species
AACGAACGCUGGCGGCAUGCCUAACACAUGCAAGUCGAACGAGACCUUCGGGUCUAGUGGCGCACGGGUGCGUAACGCGUGGGAACCUGCCCUUAGGUUCGGAAUAACUCUCCGAAAGGGGUGCUAAUACCGGAUAAUGUCUUCGGACCAAAGAUUUAUCGCCUUUGGAUGGGCCCGCGUUGGAUUAGCUAGUUGGUAGGGUAAAAGCCUACCAAGGUGACGAUCCAUAGCUGGUCUGAGAGGAUGAUCAGCCACACUGGGACUGAGACACGGCCCAGACUCCUACGGGAGGCAGCAGUGGGGAAUAUUGGACAAUGGGCGAAAGCCUGAUCCAGCAAUGCCGCGUGAGUGAUGAAGGCCUUAGGGUUGUAAAGCUCUUUUACCCGGGAUGAUAAUGACAGUACCGGGAGAAUAAGCUCCGGCUAACUCCGU